UACGGAGGGUGCAAGCGUUGUCCGGAAUCACUGGGCGUAAAGGGCGCGUAGGCGGCUCGGUAAGUAGGGGGUGAAAUCCUGCGGCUUAACCGCAGGGCUGCCUUCUAAACUGUCGAGCUUGAGCACGGUAGAGGCAGGAUGGAAUUCCCGGUGUAGGCGGUGGAAUGCGUAGAGAUCGGGAAGAACAUCAGUGGCGAAGGCGGUCUGCUGGGCCGUUGCUGACGCUG
rnacentral:rRNA from 1 species